rnacentral:rRNA from 1 species
GACAGAGGAUGCAAGCGUUAUCCGGAAUGAUUGGGCGUAAAGCGUCUGUAGGUGGCUUUUCAAGUCCGCCGUCAAAUCCCAGGGCUCAACCCUGGACAGGCGGUGGAAACUACCAAGCUGGAGUACGGUAGGGGCAGAGGGAAUUUCCGGUGGAGCGGUGAAAUGCGUAGAGAUCGGAAAGAACACCAGUGGCGAAGGCGGCUCACUGGCCCGGAACUGACGCUGAGGUGCGAAAGCGUGGGGAGCAAACAGG